rnacentral:rRNA from 1 species
UGCAGUCGAACGAAGAUGGCAGCCUCUGGUUGGCAUCUUAGUGGCGGACGGGUGAGUAACGCGUAAGAACUUGCCCCUGGGAGAGGGAUACCAACUGGAAACGGUUGUUAAUACCUCAUAGGCUGAGGAGUAAAAUGGUUAACACCGCCUAGGGAUAGGCUUGCGUCUGAUUAGCUAGUUGGUGGGGCAAAGGCCUACCAAGGCAAUGAUCAGUAGCUGGUCUGAGAGGACAAUCAGCCACACUGGGACUGAGACACGGCCCAGACUCCUACGGGAGGCAGCAGUGAGGAAUUUUCCGCAAUGGGCGAAAGCCUGACGGAGCAAUGCCGCGUGGAGGAUGAAGGCCCGUGGGUUGUAAACUCCUUUUCUUAGAGAAGAAGCCCUGACGGUAUCUAAGGAAUAAGCAUCGGCUAACUCCGUGCCAGCAGCCGCGGUAAUACGGGGGAUGCAAGCGUUAUCCGGGAUCAUUGGGCGUAAAGGGUCCUGAGGUGGUUUGCUAAGUCUACUGUGAAAGAUCAGGGCUCAACCCUGAAGAUGCGGUGGAAACUGGCAGGCUAGAAUACGGUAGGGGCAGGGGGAAUUCCCGGUGUAGCGGUGAAAUGCAUAGAUAUCGGGAAGAACACCAAAGGCGAAGGCACCCUGCUGGGCCGAUAUUGACACUGACAGACGAAAGCUAGGGGAGCGAAUGGGAUUAGAUACCCCAGUAGUCCUAGCCGUAAACGAUGGAUACUAAGUGCUGAACGACCAAAAACGUGCAGUGCUGCAGCUAACGCGCUAAGUAUCCCGCCUGGGGAGUAUGCCCGCAAGGAUGAAACUCAAAGGAAUUGACGGGGCCGCACAGCGGUGGAGCAUGUGAUUAAUUCGAUGC